AGUGGCUUAAUUUACUCUUUUCUUUUACUCAGGUAUCGCUACAAAGAAUAUGCUAUUCCUUGGUACAUGAACACGAGGUAUAAGCGAAAGAGGUUCUUCACACCCAAGUUUGUCCAACCACACAUAAGGCUGCGCUUGGAGAAGCAUCUCCGAGGGAAGGCCAGGGAAGCCUCCUUACAGAGGGGAAAUCGGUCGAAACUUAAGGAGAAGUUCCCUCAAAUGAAAGUUUCUGCAUCGUAAAAAAAUUCAAAUGCACUUUUUACAAUCAAGGAGUUAGAAUUCAAUUUAUAUCUGCUCGUGUCAAAUAACUGAGUGUCCUAUGUGGAGUAUAAGUGCAUUUGUCCAGCUGUUUGUUCCUGGAAGAUAAAUUAUUCUACAUCCCCCUGAAAUCUUUUUUUUUUAACUUACUAUUAAAAUAUGCAUUGAG